AAAACACAGUUAACUUGUAAUAACUCUAGAAAAAAAGUUUAUUAACUAUAUACUUUAGUAUUUCAGUAGCAAAGGUCAAAAUAUAGCAUUUCAAUGAAAAAUAAAGUUAACUCGUAAUAACUCUAGAAAAAAAGUUUAUUAACUACAUACUUUAGUAUUUCAGUAGCAAAGGUCAAAAUAUAGCAUUUCAAUGAAAAAUAAAGAAGGCAUUUGUCUUACAAAGUCCAAGUAAGUUUCUUUAGCUUUGAAGACUGUCCCUACACUGGGUAAACCACCCCCUAAAGCUGGAUGGCAUGGAUGCGAGUGUGGAUGGAGGGAGAGCCAUCAGACGGCAUGUGCUCAGGCCAUCUCCAUCUUGGAAAAGGCCCCUUUUCAAGGAAGAAGGCACACAAGAGAGAGGAGGGGCAGGAAGGGAUCAAUGCACAACAGCGCCCCAAUAGCAGGGUAGAACUGAGUGACUGGCAGAAUCACCCACUGCAUUCUGGGGCACAAUUGAUCUGCAUACUCCAACAACUACAAGCUGGAAAGGAUUCAAAAUGUCACAGGAUAGCCAUCUGUAUUUGUCAGCUGAACAGGCAAGUUUAGCCAAAGGAAGGAUUAAAUGGAUUUUUGAGUGAGUGGAGUUCCAUAACUGAAAGCAGCCCCCUCUUCGAACUCCAGUCUUUUGCCUUCACAGUAUAUGCCAAAUGCCAUCUUCAGCAUUGCAGUCCAAUAGCUUUCAAAGGCUGUGGAUGAAUGAACUGGAGGAUAGAGUCCUUGAAUAUAUGCAAGGGUAAGGUGUUUGGUGGUUAAUAAUUAAUACUAAACCUAGAAGGACUGAGUUAUUUACUGCAUAAUCGUUAAAAGCUCUCCAGAACUAAUAGAAUGCCUAAAAUGGGAAGGAAAUGCUUUAUGCCAGCUUUAGGACAGGUACGAAUACAGGGCAUUUUUCCACAUAUUAGGGGUGUGGUUGGAAAUCUUUGUCACUGUGCCCAGUAAUAUGGCCCUGGUAUUCCUCUUUUUCUACCUACCAAUCAAUUCUCUGAUCCUGGCCAGUUUCUUUCCUGGGUGGCUCUCUUUGUGAGUAUGUAACUCAGACCUCUGAAAUCCAAUCUUCACCAACCUUAAAGAGCUUGUAUAAGAGAGUCAGAGGAAGCGUCUCUGAAUUUUGGUAUCUCUAGGUGCCUUGGAGGCCAUUUUAUAUUCAAAUGAAUUGACAAAUCAAAAAUCACUAAAAAUUCAUUGAUUUGUAUUUGUUGGGGGCAUUGAUUUGUAUGAAUACCAAUUGCCGAAUUAACAAUUUUUGAAUGAAUUUGAUGCUUUGUUUUUUAAUUUGUGCUCAUCUCUUUCCCAAUAGCUU
rnacentral:lncRNA from 1 species